AGAGGUGGCAAGCGUUGUUCGGAAUUACUGGGCGUAAAGGGCGCGUAGGCGGCCUUCUAAGUCGGACGUGAAAGCCCCAGGCUUAACCUGGGAACUGCGUCCGAUACUGGGAGGCUUGGAUUCGGGAGAGGGAUGCGGAAUUCCAGGUGUAGCGGUGAAAUGCGUAGAUAUCUGGAGGAACACCGGUGGCGAAGGCGGCAUCCUGGACCGAGAUCGACGCUGAGGCGCGAAAGCUAGGGGAGCAAACGGGAUUAGAUACCCCGGUAGUCCUAGCCCUAAACGAUGAGUGCUUGGUGUGGCGGGUAUCGAUCCCUGCCGUGCCGAAGCUAACGCAUUAAGCACUCCGCCUGGGGAGUACGGUCGCAAGGCUG
rnacentral:rRNA from 1 species